AUUGAACGCUGGCGGCAUGCUUUACACAUGCAAGUCGAACGGUAACAGGUUAAGCUGACGAGUGGCGAACGGGUGAGUAAUGCAUCGGAACGUGCCCGGUCGUGGGGGAUAACGCAGCGAAAGCUGCGCUAAUACCGCAUACGAUCUGAGGAUGAAAGCGGGGGACCGUAAGGCCUCGCGCGAUCGGAGCGGCCGAUGUCAGAUUAGGUAGUUGGUGGGGUAAAGGCUCACCAAGCCGACGAUCUGUAGCUGGUCUGAGAGGACGACCAGCCACACUGGGACUGAGACACGGCCCAGACUCCUACGGGAGGCAGCAGUGGGGAAUUUUGGACAAUGGGCGCAAGCCUGAUCCAGCAAUGCCGCGUGCAGGAAGAAGGCCUCGGUUGUAACUGCUUUGUACGGAGCGAAAAGGACGUACUCUCUAAUACAGGGGCUCGAUGACGGUACCGUAAGAAUAAG
rnacentral:rRNA from 1 species